UCUCCGUGUAGAAUCCAACGCUUCUCUCUCCCUUCCCAAUUAUUGUUACGUCCCGUAUUUUUAUACAUUGGGACAACCCGGAUUAACUAUGAUAAAUUAAGGCCAAGACUAUUCCGGGAUUUGAAGUCGGGACUUUUGACCUUUGAUUUUAUUUUGAGACAUAAGUUGUGUAUGAAAUUGUUAGCUUGAACACUUAGGAAAAAUUGGGACCAUAAUUCAUAAAUUUGGAAAUUAAAACUCUUGCAAAAAAAAAAAAAAGGAAGAUGUGUGGAUUGAAGUGGUCCCCACACAUUGUUGUGGCCAAUUUUAAUUGGUCCAACACAUGUGUGGGCCCAAAGACAAUAAGAGAUAUUUUAAGGGGACUUAAAAGAUGACCACUUAGUCAUCUUUCUCUCAUUUCACAUUCCCACACUUAGAAAAUAAAGCAAGAAGUUGAGGAACCAAAACCAUGGCUCACGGCCAAGACCAUGGAAAACCAAAUCCAAAUCAAGCCCCUCUAAAAAUAUUUCUUGGGUACAAAUCAACUAAUUAGAGGUCCCUAAGUAACUUGGAAGCAUUGUUGGAGUGAUCAAGUCUUUCAUUUAAGAGAUUUGCAAACCCUAGCCUAUUGGUGGAUUGAAGAAGAAAGACCUUGGGGAGCCCGAGGCGUAGAUUGGAAAUUUACUUUAGAUUGGCUAUUUUGGAAGUGCGUACGAGGUACAGACGCACAGCCUGGUGAUCCACCUGUUUAGGACACCCUUUCUGCUGUUUGGAGUGCUCUUCUCAUUUCAGAGCACACAUUUUGGUAUAUAUUCGUUCGCUAUGUAUAUAUGUAUUUGUUCAGGGGCACGGCGGGGCCCUGUCCCGCCAUAUGAUUCGGUUUGUCUGUUUAGAGGUCUGUAGACGUAUUUGUGGGUGUGUGUGCCUACUUCUGUACGGAUGUGUUUGCAUGACUCUAUUCGUUAUGGCAGCCUCGUCGGCGUGCAUUUUGUAUAUGUUGUGGCAGCCUUGUCGGCGUGCAUUUGUAUAUGCGUUUUGGGCCGUUGUGCCAUUUGACAGCCUUGUCGGCUUUUGACAUAUUUGAUAGCCUUGCCGGCUUUUUGACAUCUAUACAUAUAUAUCCGCAUACGGUUGCGUUGA